GCAGCCAAAGACAAUUACAGUCGCAUAGAACUGUGCACCUCUUCCAUUAACCCACUCAGAAAAGCCAUAAAGAUCAAAUUACAAAGAAAUGGGAAGAGAUUAGAAGAACUACCUUCUGAAACGCCUUCAAAGGGUUAUUUCUGACUGUCUGCUUUACUCUAGAAAGAACCAAGUCUCCAGCUACUUUUGGAAAGGUAUGGAAAUAGCUCAAAGAACACAAAACCCUUCUGCCAUCUCAUCUUCCCUCAAACUGAUCUUGGCACUGACCAAAACAAGAGCAGCUGCUCCCUCUGCAGCUGGAGGUGUGCUGGCCACGGCUUCCCGUUACAGCCCUGAGAAGAGCAAUUGUUUAGUCAGCUAAUCGAGAAAAAUGAUCCAAAGACAGUUUUUGCAUUCAGAUUACACCAGAGCAUCGUUGGAACCCAACCCUCAAAUCAGCUGUGAAAUCACACCCAUGACACGUAGAUGCAUGUUCAUUGUACAUAAUUACUUGUGGAAAGGAGCAGCUUUCCCUUGAAAUUAUCCAUUACCUAGAAAGGUCAAGACAUGAGCUGAUGCAGAAACCUAAAAUGUGAGUCACUAGUAUAGCAAAAGGAAAACUAUAUCCCUAAUAUUUUCCUCCCUCUGUUUAAAUCAACAGUUUGUGAAAACAUAAAAGAAAGUUCUGCGAAACCCAAUUUCUACUCUUUAAAGUUUUUCCUUCCUGAUACUUGGUUUUAUUAACAAUUCCACACCCACAUCUUUUAUUCACCAGUCAGUUAUGUAUUUUGCAAGUGUUAGAAGGAUUUUAAAAUGAAGUUUUAUAAAACAGAAGUCUACAGUCGGAUUUAUGACAAAGUCUGCAUUCAGAAUUAGCAUUUCUGUAACAAAGUGGAAGGACACAGAAAAAACUAAUAUAAGGAAAAAACUAGCUUUACAGGUACACGUUACAGCCACAACACACUGUUUCAUUUUUUCCAGUAAUUUUAAUUUCCUUUAUUCUUUACAAAGUGGAAACUGUAAUCAGGUUAAGAAGAAAAAACAGGAUUACAGUCUUUCUUAUCCUACCAUUAAUAUAACCUCAUUAAAUGUGGUUAUAAAAGCCAAUUUAAUAAGAUGGUUUAAGCCUUAACAGAAAUAAUUCUCCAGCAUCCCAAUUCCAAAGGUGUGCUGUGAAGUUUUCACCCAUUUCUUCAACUUUUAAUAGUUAAAAGGGAAAGUUCCCUGUUUAAGGAUUAAUAUUGCCAAACAAAAAGCAGAUGGUGCUUCAUAUUAUCAGAGCAUUAGAGGCCGACACUUGGUAUUACACAUGACAGUGUUCUAGAAGUUUUAAAGGUAAGAUGAAAAC